GUUGCUUUGACAUUCUAUGGAAUUCAUUGUCUUCUUUUUGCCAUCACUGACCUGCAGUCCUUCUGUCCAGGAAAGUGAAGGAGGCACAUGCAGGAUGCCCUUGGCUGCUUCAACCAUGCCAUUCGGAAAGGCUUGGGAAUUCUUACACUGAAGAUCAGUAAAAUAAAAAAAAAUCAGUCUCACAUGUAAUGCUGCUGAGAGAUGACCUUCAGGUGAACGGUUCUUCACUCUCUGAUGUGUCUUCUGGUCACUACAGAUAUGUUUGCUAAUAAGAAUUGAAAUUCUCAAGAGCUGAAUCUCUAAGAGACCCUGACUCUGCAUCAAUAGGAAGCUUUUAGAAUCAUAGACUCGCAGAGCUGGAGGGUCCUUAGAAGUCAUCUAGUCCAGCCCCUUGCCUGAUGGAUGAAUCUCCUCUACAGCAUCUCUGCUCUACUUAUGAUCAUCCAGUUUCUGCUUGAACACUUCCACCAGUGAGAGGCUUUUGUCAUAGUACCCAGCAUGCAAUGUUAAGUAAUAAAAAUCAAUGAUUUC